rnacentral:lncRNA from 1 species
GCCUCCCUCUGCUGAAGGCCUGUCUCCAGCCUUCCUCUUGCCUCUGUCUCCCACCUUUCUAAAGAAAAGAAUCCAGGUAGAUUUUUUAAAUCAGCUGGCUAUGGAGGCAAAGGGCUAGUCUGGGGGAAGGAGUCCAUCUUCCUUCUGAGAUCUUCUCUGCCGCACUGCUCUCAUGGUGACCUCUUAGGUUGGUCCCCCUGCUCAGAAAAGUCUGUGGACCUUCCUGGGAGAACUGCAGUGUCAUGAAGUUACCCUUGAGAGUGUCGUCCAUAUCACAGUCCAUGCCCCUGGUUGACUGGAAUCUGCUUUAAGGCUUUUACUUUCUGGGGGCAUAGGAGACUGAGAAGAUAAGACAGGAAGAUCAGGAACCAGCAGUUUCAGGCUGUCCCAUCUCCUGAAUUUAUCUAUCUUUCUAUAAGAAAUAUCUGUCUUGGAAGCCAUUUUUGUCUCAUUUUCCACUCCUAAAUAAGCCAGCAAUGACUUCCAUCCUCUUAACCAGUGAUAUGGUUAAGAUAACCAGAAUAUAAACUUGUUUGUGUUUCUCAGUCUACCUACAUUGUGCAUGACUUGUUGAUGCUGUAUACAGAAACCUAUGUGCAUUCCCUGACUACCAGUUAUUUUGUAGUGGCAGCAAUGGCAAAUGAUUGAACUUGAGCUGAUUACUUCAAARAUAUGUUCCACCCCCUGAGGACAUUAAUACCUUGACAAAUCAACCAUGGUAAAAAUGUAUCUUGUGCACUUUGACUUCACGAGACCACAGUCAUGUCACUGGUCUUGGAACAGAUGGUGAGCCUCAUAUAUAUGUGUGUAUAUAUAUAUAUGUAGGUAGGUAGCUAGGUAGGUAUUUGCUCAAUAUAAACAAAUUGCUGUUAUUCUUUUCCUAACAGUUCAAUCAGCCUAUUUUUCAGAUGUCCUCUGGGAUCUGUAAGUUUUGCUGCUUGGACCGAUCUGUUUGAUGGAUAUUCCCUAGAAUGGGGGAAUAUAAAUCAUCAGUCCAUAAAUGAAAUGCUUCAGGUAGCCCAGAAGUCUUCUGCUGUAACACCCACCUUGACAGGUGCAGUUUUCACACCAAGAAUCAUUUUCAUGCAAUCUGGGAUCUGAGCUAAACAAAGCUGAGAGAAGAACUUUGGCCAGACCGUGUCUUGAGAAAAGGCUUAGGAAAUGGACUUUGUURUCUGAUUACAUUUGUUGUUAAUAAAAACUUGAUUAUACAGCUAUAAAUUCA